UACGUAGGGUGCAGGCGUUAUUCGGAAUUACUGGGCGUAAAGCGUGCGCAGGCGGCCUCUUAAGUCAGAUGUGAAAUCCCCGGGCUUAACCUGGGAACUGCGUUUGAAACUGGGAGGCUAGAGUGUGGAAGAGGGGGGUGGAAUUCCAGGUGUAGCAGUGAAAUGCGUAGAGAUCUGGAGGAACACCGAUGGCGAAGGCAGCCCCCUGGGCUGACACUGACGCUCAUGCACGAAAGCGUGGGGAGCAAACAGG
rnacentral:rRNA from 1 species